AGAGCCAGUGUCUCCCACAGGGCAGCCUCAUGGCCUUUACUGCCUCUCUCCAGCCAGCUCCAGCACUACAGGACAGAAGGCUGUACAUUUAUUUAGAGCACAGUAGACGAAACCUCCUAUGCUCUGGCUUGGGAACCAGGAGGAAUCACUGACUGAGAUUUGCCAACCAGAGUUCUAUGGACAUUCAAAGGAUCUUACAUUUUCAUGAGUACAGUUUUAAAAUCAUUGCAUAGACUACCUCUUAAGACUCAAAACAACCCUGAUGCAUUCACAGAGCAUUUUGUAUAGAUAUAUGGAUAAGUCCACGGAGAAGCUGCCUUUUAAAUCCCACGCACAUCCUGACUGCUUCCAAGAGGCCCCAGUACUACUGUGUACCUUCAGCAUGGACCCUUCAACAUGGAGCCGUCCCUGCCAUAUGCCCAACAUGCUCAAGGUACUCCCCCUAAACCUGAA